AUUGAACGCUGGCGGCAGGCCUAACACAUGCAAGUCGAACGAGUGGCGGACGGGUGAGUAAUGUCUGGGAAUCUGCCUGAUGGAGGGGGAUAACUACUGGAAACGGUAGCUAAUACCGCAUACCAUCAGAUGUGCCCAGAUGGGAUUAGCUAGUUGGUGGGGAAACGGCUCACCAAGGCGACGAUCCCUAGCUGGUCUGAGAGGAUGACGAGCCACGCUGGAAGUGAGACACGGUGCAGACUGCCAGGGGAGGCAGGAGUGUGGAAUAUUGCAAAAUGGGCGACAGCCUGAUGGAGACAGGCCGCGUGUAUGAAGAAGGCCUGCGGGUUGUAAAGUACUUUCAGCGGGGAGGCGUUACCGGCAGAAGAAGCACCGGCUAACUCCGUGCCAGCCGCCGCGGUAAUA
rnacentral:rRNA from 1 species